UACGGGGGGGGCAAGCGUUGUUCGGAAUUACUGGGCGUAAAGGGCGCGUAGGCGGCCCGCUAAGUCGAACGUGAAAUCCCCGGGCUCAACCCGGGAACUGCGUCCGAUACUGGCAGGCUUGAAUCCGGGAGAGGGAUGUGGAAUUCCAGGUGUAGCGGUGAAAUGCGUAGAUAUCUGGAGGAACACCGGUGGCGAAGGCGGCAUCCUGGACCGGUAUUGACGCUGAGGCGCGAAAGCCAGGGGAGCAAACGGG
rnacentral:rRNA from 1 species